rnacentral:rRNA from 1 species
CCCUUAGAUGUCCUGGGCCGCACGCGCGUUACACUGAUGCAUUCAACGAGCUUAUAACCUUGGCCGAGAGGCCUGGGCAAUCUUGUUAACGUGCAUCGUGAUAGGGAUAGAUUAUUGAAAUUAUUAAUCUUGAACGAAGAAUUCCUAGUAAACGCAGAUCAUCAAUCUGCAUUGAUUACGUCCCUGCCCUUUGUACACACCGCCCGUCGCACCUACCGAUUGGAUGGUCCGGUGAAGCCUCGGGAUUGUGGUUCUUGCCGCUUUAUUGUGGCGUGACCGCGAGAACUUGUCUAAACCUUAUCAUCUAGAGGAAGGUGAAGUCGUAACA